UACGUAGGUGGCAAGCGUUAUCCGGAUUUAUUGGGCGUAAAGGGAACGCAGGCGGUCUUUUAAGUCUGAUGUGAAAGCCUUCGGCUUAACCGGAGUAGUGCAUUGGAAACUGGGAGACUUGAGUGCAGAAGAGGAGAGUGGAACUCCAUGAGUAGCGGUGAAAUGCGUAGAUAUAUGGAAGAACACCAGUGGCGAAAGCGGCUCUCUGGUCUGUAACUGACGCUGAGGUUCGAAAGCGUGGGUAGCAAACAGG
rnacentral:rRNA from 1 species